GGGCGUUUGGCAGAACGGUUAUGCUCCUGACUCUUAAUCAGGCGCUCCACAGGUUCAACUCCUGUAGCGCCCACCA
rnacentral:tRNA from 1 species